CAAAAAAAGAUAAUCAGAUUAUUUUCUGAUAACCUCUCCCCCAUUAUCUCUUAAAAUCACUCCCUAUUAACCCACUAAAACAUAACUACUCAGAAUUUUGCCCCAACACAAAUCUUAGCCGAAAUUGGAGCAAAAAUAUUGUCUUUACGCCAUCAAAAAAAAUUGAACACAGGACCUCAUUCACACCAACACUCCACUUAUC
rnacentral:lncRNA from 1 species